GCCAGGGCCACCGCUGCCAGUGGCAGCAGGUCACGGCGAAAACCAAAGUAGUCCCUCAUGAAUGCUGCGACGGAUUUGGUCUCUCCAAAUACAUCGAUCAUCCUGUCGUCGUGAUCUCCGAACUGCGUGGUGAAGAAGACAUUGAGCGUCCAUGACAUUGGGGAGAUGUAGUAGAGCCAUAUCCACCAUUUUGGCGCAGGCACGAUGAACCCAGACAUGAGGUUCUGUAGGGUGUAAAACAUGGAUGCAAGUAUGGAAGCGAUUUGGAUGUUGGGGGUGAGCGACACAAUCAUCAUUCCCAGGUAGAGGAAGUAGAACAGCGUGCACAACAUGGUGUACAUGAACCAAAAGAACUUUGCUGCUGUCCACUCGUACCCUAUCAUCGGAUAUGCUAUCAACAUGAAGAUCACUACCUGCACCAGCACAUAAGAUAGUAAUCUUCAUGUGAUUAAUAGGACCUGCGCAAAGGAGUAGGCCCAAGGAGAGUACAUCCCUGCGAACCUCUCCCUGUACACGACGGAGCGUUCAACGGAGACAAAAGGCAUCACUGAUUGGCAGUUGUUGAUGCCACUGAACAGAGUAGUUCCAUACAUGCACCCCAAUAUGGUGAUGAGACCUUGCUGGUCGUUUCUACCCUCAAACAAAACAAGCAACUUCAAUCAUAUGCUUCCAUCAUACAUGCAUCAGCCACUGUUAUGAAUACCAUCCGCACCAGGUUGUAAGAAGGAGUUCUCCAAUAUGACAAACACUGCUUCCAGAGGCAAGCUUUGAAUUGCUCCCGAAACUUCUGCGGAAACUGGGUUGGGAAAUGGAGGUCACUUGUACCAGGAACUGCUUUGGCGGCCGCUUAGCCGUCCCAGGGAGAGAGACGCCAUCACCUCCAUCAUCACUCAGCUUCGCGCGAUGGCUCUCCGGUUGGCUCCACCGCUUCCCCCGCCACCUUCGAAACCAGAUUAGAUCGCUGCCUUCGUGCUUCGCCGCCGCUGCCUUGGGACAUUUCGUAGUGAGUUUGCGCUGGGCUUGUUAUGCUGUGCCCACAGCUGAACUUGGAUCUGUGUGUGUUGGACCCUACCUGCGGCGGCUUUGUGUCGGUGUGUGUUGUGUUCCGUUGUUACCUUGGUACUUGUUGCUUGGUGGUUGCUUUAUUUAUAAAGCGGGGCGAAAGCCUUUUUCGGUAAUAUCACUGUUACCUUCUCAAAAACUUUAGUCUGAGGCAGGCUCUGUAUUGGACUUAAUUUGGGGUUCUUUAAGUAGUCUGUUAGUAUGGCUUGAUAACUUUCAGUUCCUGCCGAUAAAGUGUUAAGGGGUCUAUCUGAGGUAGCAACCAAUUUUGUUCCAUGUCUAAUAGUUAACUUAUUCCAUAGUUACUUCCAAUUAUUUCAGUAUAAGGUGAACAAAUGCUUCACAGUUCCA